UUUACUCCUUUACUGUCUGUAAGCCAGACCAAGGUGGGUCUAAUUCACUUCUAUCAUCAGCACUUAAGAAACUGAAUGGAAGACCACAACACCUUGUUUUUUGCAAAAAUUUUCCGUCUCUUCAAUCAGGCCAGGGAGCACAUAUCUUCUGGACAGGACUUUAUCGCUCUACUUAGCUUAGUAUACUGCCUUAUACUAGUCCAUUUGUCCCAUGUUUUCAUCAUUGAAUAAACUUAAGUGACUUUUGGUCUGGAUCUCACACCUAUUACUUCAUUUCCUUCUGUGAGCACUCUAUAAUGAUGACAUCAUUUUUUUUAUAUCCUAGGGCAUGUAGUUCCGAGCCCCACAGAAAGUAAUCACCAUUCAGUAAGCCAAUAGUUCAUUCCUAUCUGUAUAGAACUAUAGGCUUUGUAAAUCUACACAAAGGUCUCUGUUGUAGGUUCAAUAUGAUAAUAAAUGUUUGUGCCCCCAGUUGUUAUCUCUAAGGAUAUAAGUAAUCAAUGAUCAUUCAGCAGAUACUGCUUAUAUAUGGGUGGCAGUUUAGAAAUUAUAAAUUGAUUUUACACAUAUUUUCUUCUGCUACCCAGGACACAAUAAAGAUGGUUUAUCUUUGCAUCCCCAAUGCCUAGCAAUGAGAUUGGCACACAAUAGAUAACUACUAUAGUGGCAUUCUUCAGACACCCAAUCCCUUGCAUAUGCGUAUUCAAAAGUUAAUCAUUGUUACUCAAAUUUUCCUACUUUAUUUGCACAAUAUAAUAACUAUCAUACAAUUGUAUAAACCUAGUGCUCAGCACCAAGUAAGAAAAUCAACAGUUACAUUUAUAUGGUGCCUUAGAGUUCACAAAAUGCUAACAUAGGUAUUGCCUUAUUUUUGGCUGUGGGUAAAUGAAAUAUGAUAAAUUUUCAGUGCCUUUAACAAUGAGUUCACAUAGUAGGCAAUCAAAAUUGAUCCAUUUAACAGGUAUUUAAACCCUUGGUUUGUAUAACUACGUAUAGAACCCUUCUCAUUGUGGUUUAAGUAUACAAUGAGAAUUUUGUAGAGACAGUACCUAUCUUACAGAAAGUUUUAUUCAUAUAGAAAGCAUCGAAUUUUUCACAUUUACAAGUGCUUUAUAAUUUAGAAAGCACAUUCGCAAACUUAAUUAAGUGACUUUUGGUCUGGACCUCACUUCUAUUACUUCAUUUCCUAUACUAUCUCCUUCCCGGUUACCCGGGAAAAUGUACCGGUAGUAAUUUAACUUAACCUCACCAGUAAAGUCUUGAUUGUUUAAAAUUAAGCAAUAUCUCAUUCCUUACAUCUGAAUAGUCUAGAGAAUAAACUUUCCUCUUAUUAUAGGAGAAUUAAUCUUGUAUUUCACAGUACCCAAAACAAUAGCUGAUAUGUGAGAGGCAGUUAAUUUCAUUCAUUGAUUCAUUCAUUCAUAAAUAUGUAGCCCAUUGACAUCUGUAUUGUGCUUUAGUUUACAAAGCACUUUAAUAUGCACCUUUCUGAAAUUUUUUGUUCUAUGAGAGUAUUUUUUUCCCCUUUGGUAGCUCCAGUGCCCAGCAUGGUAUCUGGCACAUUAUAGGUGACCACAAUAAGUUGAGUCCCUUAUGUAUUCAGUAUACUUUAAAGUUUAAAAGCAGUUUCCAUGUGUUUUCGUUUCUGAUACCUGGAAUACUGCAUUUUUACUCAAAAUUACCAGAGCAGCAAACACAAAUUGGCCUCAAAUACACAUAUAAUUUAUUCAUUUAUCAAACAAUUCUUUGUGUCUGCAUAGUACUAUAUCCUUUUGAAAGAGCACUUUUUUAUGCUUGCUCCUUUCUUUGUAUCCACAAUGUUUAUCACAGUAGAAUACAAGUGCUUUAUAGUUUACAAAGCACAUUCACUAUUUUUCUUCAGGUCACCUACAUGUGAAUCAUCGUUGCAUUUUGAGUGCCUAGCACAGGGACAGGCACAAAAAAGGAAAUUAGUAGUAUUCAGACAUUUUCUCUGAAUAACGAAUAAUACAUCAGGGGGUGGUAAGCUAUGAACAGUAGGCCAAAUCCAAUUGGCUCAAAAACUAAGAAUGAUUUUGACCUUAUAAAAAGGUUGUUUAAAAAA